AAACAGUAAGUACGAUAUUAAAUUAUUAUUGAAGUAAAUCAAGUAAACAUCACUGACAAAUUUGUGAAGAUAUUUUUAAUAACUGUUAAUUCGUUGAAACACAAAUAAUCAGCAGUCGGAGGCUUUGAAACAUGUCGUCAAAAAUUCCAGUCAGUGGAAUCUGAGGCAUCGAAGAGCUCAGAGUAUUAAAAGGAAAGCUGGAGGGAUUGAAGAAGAAGGAACAGGGAGUCAUCGACGAGGCAGGAAAAACGGAGCUGGGUGAAAAAGCUGGACAAUUGGACUAUAUCACAGACCGCAGAAGUCGUUAGGAAAGAAUUAGACAAUCAUGGGAUUCAAGGACGAGUCUAUGCACUAUUGACUAAAUUGAGAAAACGAAAG